UGGCGUAAUUAAACAAAACACACAUGUAUCGACACAUAUUCCGGGGUGCUUUGCCCUGCACUGAACCACAGUCAGGCCAGAGUCGGCGUAUGGGAUACAUGGAGGCUUAAC
rnacentral:sRNA from 1 species